CCUUGCCGGGGCCGGAGCCAACGGAUUGGUUCAAGCUGGGAGAGGGGGUGAUGUCACUGCGGGACCGCGCGCAGACGCAGAGGGGAGGCGGCCGCGGCGGCGCCCUCUAGGGACUGUCUGCGGACCACGUGCCGCACAGAGGAGAUGUAACGGUAGCCACUGGAGGCAGCGGAUAUUUGACUCCAGUCGUGCAGUGGAGCUAUAACCUCCUGGACCCUGGUCAGGAACCUGGAACAAGGAAAUAAAUCACAGCUGUCGUGUCACCCCUGCAGCUGCUGCAUCACCUGAGUGUUCCCCCCUUUCCUCCCAUCCGCUGCCCCCGAAGACUCGGUGUCCUGCUCAAGCACUAUAUCCUCCUGCCCUGUCCGGUUGCUGUACCCGUAUGGCCAGGUCAAGCCACCCACAGGCCGAUUUUACCCUGUUAGCAUCACUUUCAUUCCCAGCUGUCACUCCAGUCUACCAUAAAAUCUGAUGGCAGUUCCCCACCCCACCAAGUUACUUCUAGUUCCUUGCUCCAAAAUGCAGCUUUCUGACUCUCCAGUGGAAGGAAGACCCCUCUACAUAGUCUGUGCAUUGUCUGAACAGCAAAGGCAAGGAAAUGAGUACCAGUCCUUCCACUUGCUCACUGCAUUUCUUAACACAGCUGCCCCAGAGUGCAGGUCACGUGAGACUAGCAUGGUGCAAUAUCCUUGUCACUCUCUUAUACCAUGCUAAGCAGGACAGCAGAUACAUGGGGAGAUUGCACAAGCAGGGUUUGCAGAAUACACGAGCCAAUGGACGCAGCUCUAGCAUCGAACGCAGCACUCAAAAUGUUGUCUGCAAGGAUCUUAAGUUACCCCCGGGGUUAUUAGAAAUGUUUUUUGAGAUCCGCUUGAACGGGAGAUGCGACAAAUGCAAAAUAGUUUUAAUUCUGAAUAUGCUGGUAUUGGUUUGCCAUGCUUUUCAACCAUCCAGCACCUUUAUUCUGUUUCCAUAGAAACCCUAAAAGUUGCCAAGUACUACCCGCAUUUUACUAUAGGGAUAUUUUACCAAGAAGGCCAGUGUCUAAAUGGUGUAAGAACAUAUACAAGGAGCUACAGCAUGAUAGUCAUCUAAUUCUUUUAAUUUGGGCCGCACUUUCUAUGCAUUUCAUCUGGUUAGAGCAGGCCUGGACUGGUGGAAAGUCGCGAGGGAACCAGACCCAAAUGGGCUUGAAUUUUGACACCAAUGUUGCAGCAAAGUUUGGAAACACCCAGAUACUAGCUAUCUUUUUGAGGCUUCUAUGUAUCGCCAAUCACCACGGCACUUCAGCGCCGAUUAAAUGGUUCAAUCAAUGCAAAAAAAGAUGUAAUUGUCAAAUCCGAAGCGGGAAGGCCCGGCAAAGGUCACGCAGAGUCCAGCUGGAGUUUGACAAAGAGGGUCUCAGUUUGCCCAGCACAUAUUUCUGCACCGUCAUUUCAAUCCGAUUCCUGACAAGGAAGUGUCUGAAACAGAUGGUUCGGCAAGGCUCUCCCAAGUGACGAGCAUCUUGUUGGAGCAUGUUUUAAGAGCUUUCUGUGCUCCACUUCUGCCAACUGAAAAAAAAAAUCUCCGAGCUGGAUGACAAGGGCAGCCUGGAAGAACACACCCGAAGGAAUUCGUUCCCCAGGUCGGAGGCUUCAGGCGCGUCAUCUUUCUUGAUGUCUGUAGAUGGAUUCAGAGGGUCACACCCGCCCCCCCAGCUCCUCUCUAAGGCAUCCAAAUGCUCUGUCUACAGAGGAAAGUCUCUGCCACAGCGGCAGCAUUGCUUAUGGUAAUAUCAGCUCAUGCUACCACAAGCUGCCUGCAAGUGGGGGAAAAAAGCUUUGCAUUGUUAUCAUUAGUGCUUUGCAGAGCCAGUCACUGCCUUGUUUUCUAAGGUUUGCACCAAGGAGGCAGAGCGAACUAGCAAUUAGAGCAUGGGACUGAGAGACAGUGGUUUUCACCCUGCCGCUGCAUUGCUAUGUGACCUCAGGCAAGUUACAGUACAGGCUCUUUGUCUGUGGAGAAAGUGGGCUCUCACCUAUCACCAACAUAAUGCGGGGGCUAAUUUAUUAUUGCUUGCAAGGUGCUUUUAGAUCAUGGGGUAAAAGGAGCUUGCAAGCCUGUGUUUCAGUUGUUAUUAUUAAUAGUUGCCUAAAAGUAGGGGGACUAAGCCUUUAGCCCAAGAAGCUCCAAGGUAAUUAAACUAGAGAUCCACCUCGUUCACUAAAUAAAGCAGCUUUCAUAAGUGGAGGUGGGAAUUCACCUUCGCCUUUGCUCAUUUAAAGCUUUUUUUAGAAAGGGGGUUCUGCCUCUUUAAAUUGCAUCUCGUGGGGAGAGGGUAUGAAAUCCCUUAAUCUCUUUUAGCAGCAAUGCUGAUCUAGUUUCCUUCUAGACAUUGCUCACAUCACAUCUGCACUGAAACCCAGAUCCUAGAUGAGAGCUGGGAAUUUCCCAACUGCUUUUACAGCCUGCCUUUUAUCCCCCCAAAUAUCGGACGAGAGAGGCAACAGGGCGCGCUCCAGCUGCUCUCCCCCCGCGCUGUCUCUUGCCGCACCGGCAAGACCGCCGGGGUCUGGAAUAGAGGACAACCUGGAGGCAUACCAGCAGGAAGGCGGCUGUACUGACCCACUUACUCCCACUCAUGGAUUGAUGUGCAUGGUGCGUGGGAAAGCGCCAUAACAUUGCUUUUCUGUCAUGAAGCCUCAGCGAUACCAUAUCGCGGGUAGGGAAGCAGCCACGCAGGGGUGUACCAAGGGCGCUCAGCAAGGAAGAACCCGAGCCAGGAAUAGAGGAUUUGCUUGCUGCCUCCGUACAGAUAGAUGUAUUUAAUGGGAGGGUCACGCACCUCCCCAGGCUCCUCAGUACAUUGAGCAUUUUUAAUUCUGUGCCCCCAACUGAUAAUAUCAUUCAUUGCAAUCUGCCACUGAGGACUUCUACCUGCUUUGCUCUCAGCUCGGGGGUCUUGAAUAAUAUUGCUGCCCCUGCUGCUUUGUUAUUUGUACCUGACCCCCCCAAGAUGUUCCCCAUCUCCACCUUCUCUCAAAGCAUUUAUAAUCCCUCUCCCCUGGUAUACCACAUUCCUGUAGGCAAGUUAGGUCUACCCUUACUUGGUUCAACACCGGUUCAAUCUGUUCCCAUCUUUUCCUUGUUAAGAUACCCCUGACGUUGAGAAGAGUUGCUAAGAGAUGCGUGGGCCAAAGACGGCCAAAUUCAUCUGUGCCACAAGCAGACUCAGCUUCCACCGGGCUCAGAAAGAUCUGCACCCAUUUAUACCCAAAUUGCUCCACUAUGCCAUGAUGUAAAUAAAUAGGACGUGGUUCAAUAAGGACGAGUGCCAAGUGCUAUAUGCCAGGAGGAACAGUCAGUGCCCAAAACCAAAAUGGGGAAUGAAUGGCGAGGCUGCAGUUCUACUAAAAAGGACCUAGGGUUUAUGGUGGAGCGAAAAGGGAAUAUAAGACAGUAAUGUUGGUGCCAAGCAGCUACUAGCAUGCCGGGGUAUGCCAACAUAUGCCAACAUCGCGUGCCAGUCAAGGGGAGUGAGACUUCUGCUUGAUUCAGUUCUGGUGAGUUCUCAUCUGGAGCACCGGGGUCUGGUUUGGGGCACUGCACUGCAAGGAAGAUGGGGACAAAUUGGAAACAGUCCAGAGGCAAACAACAAGCACAAUGUAAAGGUGGAAAAAAAACCAUUGGCAAAUGAGGAACAGCUGGGAUUAUUUAGUCGGGAGAAGAGGAAACUGAAGGGGAUUUGAUCAGAAAAGAGGGUGGCAACUCAGAGGCUGAAUGGACAGGGCUGGUGCCUAAGGGAAGCUGACCCUGCGGGGGCUGAAGCUGCUGGAGUGUGUGUGGAGCAGUGAUUUAGAAGCAGAAAUUUGGCAGCAAAACCAGGAGACUUGCAACAAAAAAAGAUGUGGAUUGGGAAUUAGGAAGAACUUUUUAAGCCUGGGGGCGAUUCAGCCUUGGACCGGAUCCCCUAGAGAGGCAGUGUGGGCCAGUACAGACAGCAACAGCAAGUCUAGAGCCCAGAACUAGAGGCUACCCCAUCCCUGGGGGAGUGGUUUAGACAAGGACGGUACCGCCGUGAGCAGGGGGUGGCCUGGACGGACUCCUCAGACCCUGCCAGCCCUUCCUUGCUGUGAUCCUCUCACUUGGCGUCACACUCAUUUUGCACACCCCGUGAGCAUCAGUCAGUGCAAGUCACACAACCUGGCUUCCUACACCCGCCUUCCAGCCACUUUGCAGCCAUGCGUCGUCAAACCACUUAUCUCCCCUGUGAAUUUGGCCCAGGAAGUUCAUCUUUCUGUGAAGAAAUGAUCCCAGACACCCAUGAAAUGAGAACAAGUUGCGCUGUCUUUGAACCAUGUCCUCAGUAGGAGGCAGGGUAGAGAUGCACCUUACAGACUAACUGAAUCAAGGCACUGCUCUACCGUGAUCUAACCAGCUCUGUGGAGCUCCCAAAUGGAAAAGACGUAUGGACAACCAUCUCCAUCACCCUCAUCUCAACCCACUUGUUUUUACUGGUUAUACCUUGUCUUUCAGACUGUAAGUGCCUUGGAGGAGAAGCUGUCAUUUACCGUAACCUUGUACAGCACCUUGCACAGUGCAGCCCAGACACGAUGGACUCUGAUGGCUACUAUUUGCUGUUCACCAUCAGUGUGCAUAGCAGGACUUUAUUUUUCAAGACCUGUUUUUUCAAAUAUAACGUCCUCGAGGUGGAUGAAGACAGAAUACUUGACAGUAGCUGCAAAAGCAGAUGAAGGCUGCGGCGGAACAGAAACCUCCGGUUGUUUAGGUUUUCCUUGCCAUUCGAUUAAGCUUUCCUUCCCAUAAAAGUAUUUUGUGGUUGCUGAUGUGCAAAGGCAUCCCCACAUUAACAUGAAUGCACAUCCCUUCGAUAGCCAGUCCUGCAGCGACGGACAAGUGGUGAUGGGGUAGCUGCUAGUGAUUCCUGGAAGUCCCUACUCACAGACCUACACGGAGGCUGAGAUGAUACGAUGGUUGCUUUGCACUUGGAACUGAGACAGGAGCGCCGUUCGGUAGCUGCAGUCAUGUCUGAGCAGGCCUACUGACGAUCCACCCCACUCACCCUGUGCGGGGAGGGGACUAGAAAACUAGUCCUAAAGGUAGCCUGUCUCGUUUCACCUGACUGGAAAACCAUGUCCAGUGAGAUCACUCCAUCCACAGCCCAAAUCAAGUAACAGAGCUUGCAACCUGGAGCGUCCGCACACCGAUGGACAGCCCUAACAGCGACCGACCGAAGCAAAGGACAACGCUUCUGGCCAGAGAAUUUGCAUGAUUUGACAUUGAAAUUGCUGCACUUAGUGAGCAGACAUGCAGGAGAGGGGCAGCUCAGAGCACAGUGGUGGUUACACCUUUGUUUGGAAAGCACAGGCCAAAAAAGACAGACACAUCCACAGCACUGGUUUAGCUAUCGAGACCAAGAUGGUCACUCAGAUGCCAGCGUGUCUGGUUGGCAUCAACGAGCAGCUCACGGCCCCUUGUCUUCCACUGACCAACAGACAACACGCAGCAGUCAUCAGUGCAUACGCCCUGGCCCUGGAUACAGGUGACAAAACAAAAUAGUCCGUUCUAAACUUGACCGUGUCUUCUCAUCUGUCCCCAAAAAACGUAAGACAAUUCUUCGUGGUGAUUUCAACGCUCGAGUGGGCAGGGAGUCUGGGCUAUGGAAAGGAACGCUUGGAAAGGAAGGGGUGCGGAGAGUCAGUCCAAAUGCAGUUCUUCUCCUGAGCAAGUGAUUUGAAUACGAUCUCAUCGUCAUCAACUCAUUCGGCCAAAGCUGAAAUAGAAGAUAUCAUGGGUGCACCGCAUUGGAAGCACUGGCACCUGACUGACUAUGUAAUGCAUGCCUGGGACCAUCACAACACCUCUAUCACCAGACCUAUUUCCAGCGCAGGUGACUUCUGGACAGAUCGUCGUUUGGUACGUUUUGUCCUGUCCAUUCUCGUCACCCCAAAACAACGUAAACAAAAGAAGCAGCCAAGGAAGAGGUUCAAGUGCUUGAAAGAUCCUGCUAAAAGUGAUCGUCUGCAGCAGCACCUCAGUGAGAAACUCUCCUACCUCCAUGAUGAUCUUGACACCGGUGAUCACUGGGAGAGCCUCAAGAAAGGCACCCACGAGACACGCAAAGAGUCUCGGCUUCUCCCCAAAGAAACGUCAGGACUGGGUCGAUGAAAAUGCUAGGGAACUUCAGGCUCUCAUUGACAGAAGAAGGAGAGCCUGCAAGGCUUGGCAGAAUGGCAUCAAUGCCAAACAAAAGCAAGACAUUUAUCGCUACAUUAAAACCGAGACCCUGAGGAAAAGCCGAGAGCAAAAGAACAAAUGGUGGGAGGACAAAGCAAAAGAUCCAAAAGUUUGCCGACAGCCAUGACGCGCGUAGUUUCUUCAGCACAACCCAAGCUAUCCACAGGCCAAGUACACAAGGAGCUGGCUCCUUAAGGUCCAAGGAUGGAACAAAAAGUUUAAAGACAACUCCACCGUCAACACAUGGUGGAAGAAACACUUCCAAGAGCCCCUGAACUGAGAUUCUAGCGUUGAAGACACCACCAUCAAAGCCAUUCUGCAACACCCUGCUAAGGACUACCUUGCAGAUCCACCAACUUAUCAAGAGGCUUUGGUAGGCAUUAAGCAGAUGAAGAACAACAAAGCGUGUGGUUCUGAUGGAAAACCAGCUGCAAUUUAUAAGCAAGGUGGAAAACGCUCUCCCACCAAACACACAUCAUUAUUAUGAAAUUUGGGAAACAUGAACAGAUCCCCAAUGACUUGAAAGAUGCCAGAAUUGUUACCAUAUUCAAGAAAGGCGAUAGAUAGGAUCACAGCAGUUCACAGAUCUACAGAAGUUUAGGGCUGGAAGGGACUUUGUGAGAUCAUCUGGUCCAGCCUCCCCUGAUCUGGGCAGGAAAGUGCUGGGGUCAAAUAACCCCAGUAAGGUGUGCGUCCAAUUCUUCUUCUUCUUGUGUAUCUACACCACAUUUGACCAUGUUGUUACACACACUUGUGCAGCGAAGGUGACUCCAAGGUCAACUGUAUUUGUACAGUGGGAUAGUGGGUCCCAGACCACGUAAUGCUGAGCUAGCAGUUGGCCUCAUGGUUUUUCAGAUGGAAAGCACAUACUUGUGUUUUCGCUGGGCUGGCGCGUAGUUCGUUUUCAACAUAGUAUGAGAUCAGGCCAACGAGUGCCUCACUUAGGGAUUUUUCAACAUGGUCGAAGCCAGUUGUGGGCUGCUAUGCGCAGGUCAGCUGCAUAGAUGAAACAUUUCUGUUUCCAAAUCAAUUGGUUGGUCAUUUGUAUAGAUGUUAUAUAGCAAUGGUGCAAGCAUGCUUCCUUGGGGGAGACCAUUCAUUUGUUACCUCCAUCUGCUUUGCUUCCCAUCCAGUUUAGCAAAAACAAGUCGGUUUUCAAGCAGGGUUUUUAUCAGCUCUGUAAGGUGCAGAUCUUUUCCCAUUUCCAGGGGCUUGUGGAGGAGUCGCCGGCAGUUAACCGUAGGCAGUGGUUAGGUCAUUUGGCCUCUUUCAAAGCCAUCCUCAAUAUGUUGAGUUAGAUUGAGCAGCUGGCCCGUUGUUGAUUUUCCAGGAUGAAAGCCGCCUGUUCGGGGAUUAGGUGUUCAUCCAUGUAUAGAGCAAGCCAGUUCAGUAUCAGUCGUUCAUACAGUUUGGAUGUGUGGCACAGCAGAGGGAUAGGUCUGAAGCUCUUGGGGUCAGCUGGAUCUUUCCCUGGCUCCACGGAUGAUCACUGGUGACUUCAAGAGCCACAGCACGCCGUGGGGCGGCACUUCUUCUUUCAUACGGCUGGUGUAGAUACAGAACAGCAGCUAUAGCUUUACAUUUAGGUGGUUGAGCCAGACAGUUGUGCCAGGAGCAGCAGAGUGUAUCGCUGUGAUAACUCCUUCCUAUUUGUGGGUCGGGCAUUGAGUCGUUGCAUGUUCUGGGUGACCGCAGUUGCACACGGGAGAGUUUUUUAUUCUCCAUUUGUGCACCAAGUAUCCGCAUCUCCCACGGUUUGUGCGGAUAUGGGUUAGAGCUGCCCAUGAGCGUCGUGGGAGAUCAAAGCCAGGGGCCUUCUGCAUUGGAUCUAUCACAAGAAAUUUAUCUGGGACUUCCUGUGAACUCCAUUCGGUUUUCCAAGCGUCAUGAAGAUUGAAGUCACAUUGUGGAAGGUUAAGUAAGCGGAUCCAGAAGGGCUUGUGCAACUUUAAGCGAUGGCGAGGGGUAUUGUUGAGGUCCUACGUUGUUGUCCUACAUUGCUGAGCGGCUACACUGAGACCAAUAAAGACAGUGAAGCAGCGGAAGCGUAGUCGGAUGCAUACCAAAUGAGUUUGAUUCAUGGCCCAAAGCUACCUAAAUCAUUCAACAGAUGCUGCUCUGGAUAUGAGCAUACAACCCAGACCUUAUAUUCACCAGCAACACCAUCGCUGGGCUAAGUAAUAAAAUGGUAUUAGACCCCAUCCCACGUUCCCAGCAUCGACCAACUGGCAUUGAGAUCAAAGCUGCAGUAACAUCUAUAACAGUGCCGCUUCGCUGACAUUUCACUCUUCAAAAAGCAAACUGGAAAGACAAACACCUGCUAAAAGACACGUACUCGCUAAGCUCCGGGUCAUGCACGUGCACCGGAGGUCAGUUUGAAUUGGCCCCAGCCUUGUGCCGGUGGUGAAGCAUCCAGCAAUGAUUCCUGCCCAGUUGCAAGAGCAGGAGACUGGGCCCAACGUCCAAAACCUUGCCCUUAAAGCUGCCUGUUUUACUUGCCUGCCUGUCACUGGCUGAAGCUGAAACCAGAGCCCAGACACUAAAAAAGAAGCUGGUCUCUUCUCUCCAAGGACAGCCUGGAGUCAGCAGAGCCGAGGCAGCCGGCAGCCCACCUCUGCAGACUGCAGCAGGACUACAUUUCCCAGCCCGGUGCGGGGGUCACACUGGGUCUGCUGGUUUGCAUGCCACAGCCUGGGAGUCUGGGUUCGCUCGGUCUCUAGUAACGAACCCUAUCAGCUAAUCAACGCAUGUCUGAAAAAAUGCCCGAGUCAUAUCAAUCAGCUUGUUACCAGCACUGAGAUAACGUCAUUGCUUCCAGCCGGCGUGAUUAAUUUUCUCCUCUUUGUUAGCAGAACGGCAUUCUUUCCGUUCGCAGACGGUUGAUGUCAUCCUUGUAGGAAAAUAAUGUAUCCUUGAGUGAGGGCUGCUUUUCAUUUCAGGGUCCGGAGGUAGGUUCUGUAACGUGCUUUUUAGCAAAACACCAAAGACAUAGAAAUCUUUGUUUCUUCCUUGUUUUUUUUUUUUCAGUGUUGUUUCAUCCUAAACAGAAUCGUGCUGGAGAACAAGAGCCAGACAGUGGAAGUGACCACACGCUGACCAAUUCGAUGGUGGAUUUGUAUGCGCAAGACCCCGCAAAAGGCAGGCUAGGGGAGAAACCAGGAGCAAUCCUGCCCCCUGAACGGGUGAAAGAACCAGACAAGGAAAAAACACUGAAGAAGAGAGCGCUGUGAGUGCCGCCACCCACUGUUAAUGGUGAGCAGGAAUUUUCUCCUGAGCUCUGUGCUUAGCUGUGUUUGCAUUUGGUCUAUUAAAAUACCCUGGUUAAAUGUG